GGUGAUGAUGGUCCCUCCAAGCUUCUUCUCCUCCCUUUUCUUCUUUCUCUCCUCCUCCUUCCUCUUCUUCUUCUCUUCUUCUUCUUUCGUUUAGAGAGAGAGAGAGAGGGAUGAAACGGUGAGGGAAAGAGAGAGAGAGGUGUUCUAACCCUCUCUAUACACUUAACCCAUGCCACAAUUGCAUAUAAGUCCCUCAACAAUGCCUCUCUUGCAACAGCCCGAACUGGGCAUUUUCGGGGUUCGGGGACCGGUCUCUACAUGAGGGACCGGUCCCUGAGAGACCGGUCUCUCUGCCUGGGACCGGUCCCAGAG
rnacentral:lncRNA from 1 species